AAUCGGGUCACACAUGUACUUGAAGGAUGAAUGUGGGGGGGUUUUAUUGAGUGGUGGAGGUGGCUCUCAGUGGAAUGGAAGGAUAUGAGGGGAGGUGGAAGGGGAAUAAAG